CUAAUCGGGGUUGCGGACAGUGUCUGGUGGGUAGUUUGACUGGGGCGGUCUCCUCCUAAAGAGUAACGGAGGAGCACGAAGGUUGGCUAAUCCUGGUCGGACAUCAGGAGGUUAGUGCAAUGGCAUAAGCCAGCUUGACUGCGAGCGUGACGGCGCGAGCAGGUGCGAAAGCAGGUCAUAGUGAUCCGGUGGUUCUGAAUGGAAGGGCCAUCGCUCAACGGAUAAAAGGUACUCCGGGGAUAACAGGCUGAUACCGCCCAAGAGUUCAUAUCGACGGCGGUGUUUGGCACCUCGAUGUCGGCUCAUCACAUCCUGGGGCUGAAGUAGGUCCCAAGGGUAUGGCUGUUCGCCAUUUAAAGUGGUACGCGAGCUGGGUUUAGAACGUCGUGAGACAGUUCGGUCCCUAUCUGCCGUGGGCGCUGGAGAACUGAGGGGGGCUGCUCCUAGUACGAGAGGACCGGAGUGGACGCAUCACUGGUGUUCGGGUUGUCAUGCCAAUGGCACUGCCCGGUAGCUAAAUGCGGAAGAGAUAAGUGCUGAAAGCAUCUAAGCACGAAACUUGCCCCGAGAUGAGUUCUCCCUGACUCCCUGAGAGUCCUGAAGGAACGUUGAAGACGACGACGUUGAUAGGCCGGGUGUGUAAGCGCAGCGAUGCGUUGAGCUAACCGGUACUAAUGAACCGUGAG
rnacentral:rRNA from 1 species